CGGGGGAGCAAGCGUUGUUCGGAUUUACUGGGCGUAAAGGGCGCGUAGGCGGCCACCGCAAGUCGGUUGUGAAAUCUCCGGGCUUAACCCGGAAAGGUCAACCGAUACUGCGGGGCUAGAGUGCAGAAGGGGCAACUGGAAUUCUCGGUGUAGCGGUGAAAUGCGUAGAUAUCGAGAGGAACACCUGCGGCGAAGGCGGGUUGCUGGGCUGACACUGACGCUGAGGCGCGAAAGCUAGGGGAGCGAACGGGAUUAGAUACCCCGGUAGUCCUAGCCUUAAACGAUGGAUGCUUGGUGUCUGGGGUUUUAUAGUCCCCGGGUGCCGUCGCUAGCGCUUUAAGCAUCCCGCCUGGGGAGUACGGUCGCAAGACUG
rnacentral:rRNA from 1 species